rnacentral:lncRNA from 10 species
AAGUGCGAGCCGGGCGCCCCGAGAGCCAGGUGAGAGGCCCGGGCGGCUGGGCUGGGGCCCUUCCUCUCCAGGCCGUCUAGGUCCCUGAAGAAACGCUGCCCGAGCACCUACUGUGAGCUGGCCGCGCUGGGGCCACGGGAGGUCGGAAGGGAGAAGACAAACAGCGGGACCAUGACAGUGGGGGCGGGGGUGUGCUCAGGGGCUGGGUCCCAGAUCCCAGGCAGGAGCCAGUGACCUUUAGUGAAUGAAUGAAUGAAUGAAUGAAUGGUGCAUUUCCCCAGGGGUCUCAGGACGCAGCACAACACAGGCGUUUCAUGCCAGGUGGGAAGGGGAUGACCCCCUUCACUGGCCCCACCAGGCCUGGCCUGCCCCCUCCCGCAGCACCAGGAAGCUCUGCUGCAGGUGGGCAGCCACCUGACACCGUGGCUGGCCACGAUCUAGGGAAAGCGAUAGAACCUUCCCUCUGUAAAGUGUGAGUGUUUCUUAUUAUUGCACCAUGAGAUGUCCCCCUGGUGCCCAAGGGCCCGGGGACCCUGAACUGUUUAAGACAAAAUCCAGGCCCUGCCUUGAGAAGCCCACGGCUUAGAAUGGUAGACACGCAGGACAUCAGUGUGAUCAGAACUACAACGGGAGUAGGGACAGGCAGCGGGACGGGAGUAGGGGAAAAGAGCUCCUCGCCCACGUUGAGGGAGUCAGGAAACCUUUCAGAGUCUUGAGGAAAAAGUGAAACACAGUCAGAUGGGGGAGGGAAAAGGUGUUCCACCGGAGACAGCGGCACGUGCGAAGCUGCGGAGGCCGGAGCGGAAUGCUGCCCCCCCACCCCGCCCCCGCAGAGGGUGAGGCUCGCUUGCACAGUGGUGCAGCAUGAGGAGCUGGUGCUUGCUCAGUGGAGCACGUUGGAUGCCAGCAGUAAAUCCAGCAUUGAACUGGGAACUCAUUGUCACCUGAUCUCUCCACUUCUCCUAAUGGCCAGAGUUGAAAUCUUUUAAAAAUGGGCACAAGGGUCUUCCCAGAUCUUGGACUGAGUGUUUCUAUUGAAGCUUAAAAGAACAAGGGGCAGACGUCAUUAGGUUCCCCCUAAUUUAUGCUGGUCAUGACAUCCCCCCUCAUGGAGUUCCAAGUCAGGCAGGUGAAAAAGCACCUUCAACCUCCUUUAAACUCACUGUGGUCUAAAGAGGCAGCCAGGGCAGGAGUCACUAGGUGGAGAGGCAGAGCCCAGCUCCUUGACUCCUCUGCCCGGCUCCCGCUCCGGGCUGUGGUCUGCAGGCUGGAUGGAGCCCCACUUGGAGGGAAGGAUCCUCCCCAGCACAGCUCUGCCUUUCCAGGUGCCCCUUCCUCCCCGAAACUGCCACAGGGCUCGGCAGUGACUUGACACUGGGCUGGGCAGGUAGCUCCAGAGCAGGGCUCCCCGCCCCAAGGAGUGGUGAGAGGGGCCCCACCCCCUCGGAUCAGCUGUCAGCAUCUUCCUCCCAACUGCUGCUGUCGUCAGGCCUUGGGUGGCAAGGCUGGAAGGCAGGUGGGGCCAGACUGGGGGUGGAGGGAGCUGAGAGUCAGGCAGAGGCGUUUGGCCUUGGUUGCUAUAGGGAUAAUCUCUGUAAUGACACACUUGAUGUUUGUCAUGCUAUACAGUUUCACUGAACAUUUCCUAAUAAUAACAACACCCAUUAGUGGAUUGCAAGCCACGUGUAGGCACUGUUCCCUAGGAGGUAGGGACUCUUAGCUCCAUUUCACAGAUGAGGAGCCUGAGGCCCAGAGAGGCUAAGUUGUUGACUAACAUCCACAGCUAGUAAGAGGCUGAACUAGAAUUUGGAUCCAGGCGUGACCCCAAAGCCAGGUGGUCUCCCUCCAUCACGCCUCAUCUGCACAAUUGCAAUUUCAUUUAGCUCUCAGACCACGAGGUAGACCAAGCAGAUGACCUGCUUCCUCCCAUUUUACAGAUUUGGGAACUGAGCCUCAGAGAGAGGCAGAGGGGUGUCUUAGACCAGCAGGACACAGCAAGGAUUCAAUCUCCUGACGUCAAGCCCCAGCCUCCGCUCCCCCACCAUGCUUACGCUCCUGCGAGAGGGAGCUUAGUCACCAGGCCACAGAAAUCGGCUCUGGUUGGCAGGGAAUGUCCCUGAAUCUCAGACAUUGCUGGACCUGGGACCAUACUGUUUUCCUGGAAUUUAUUUUUAGAGUGGUGGCCCAGGUCACACAGUCUGCCUGGCCAGGGUACUGUUUACUGUUUUAGUGUUUACUGAGGCUUCUCAGGACUUGCAGCCUGUGGGAGACUUAGGCCCCUCGAGGCCCCACCAACCCCAGGCCCAGAUCUGUGGGGAGCCCAGCACCGUGGCCUACUGCCCUGAACCCUUCAAGGGCAGGGGCCAAGGCUCACCGUAUCCCCUAGAGGAGUGCCUCUCUCAGGCUGGCACCCAGCUGUGGCUCAGGACGGUAUGCCCAGUUGAUCUCCUGGCCAGACAAACCAAAGGGACAAGAAAGAAAAAAACAGAGUGAGAAAGAGAGGAAGGAAAGACGGAAGGAUGGACGGCAGAGGGGCUGGCUUAGAAGAAUAAACAAACUGAAGAAAUGAAUAAAGGAACAAAUACUUGCAUGGAUGACGAAUACCACAUGUGACAUGAAUGGGGAGUCUGUGGACAGGCAACCACUCUCCAGCCUCCGCCUACUCCAAGGCCCCCUGGCCUCACCCCUCUCCCCAUUUUCUCACAUCCCACCCCCAUCCUAAGGCCAAAUCCUAUGCGGUCCUGAUCGAGUCUCCACUGCCCUCAUGUGGUCGCUCAGCUCCCUGCACAGUCAUCACCUGGGGCUGCCUCCCUGCUUGGGGUUCCUGGCUUGGGGGUGUGGGGUGUUUGUGGAUGGCUGAAUGAAGGGGAGAGAUACAGUCUUUCCCCUUGGAGUGGCUUGGCAGGGUGCACGGGCCCUGGUGUGUAGCUCCCGAAGCUCUUGGUUCCGCGUGCAUCCCCUGUCCUCUGC